rnacentral:rRNA from 1 species
AUACGGAGGGGGUUAGCGUUGUUCGGAAUUACUGGGCGUAAAGCGUACGUAGGCGGAUCAGAAGGUAUAGGGUGAAAUCCCAGGGCUCAACCCUGGAACUGCCUUAUAAACUCCUGGUCUUGAGUUCGAGAGAGGUGAGUGGAAUUCCAAGUGUAGAGGUGAAAUUCGUAGAUAUUUGGAGGAACACCAGUGGCGAAGGCGGCUCACUGGCUCGAUACUGACGCUGAGGUACGAAAGUGUGGGGAGCAAACAGGAUUAGAUACCCUUGUAGUCC